UACGAAGGGUGCAAGCGUUAUUCGGAAUCACUGGGCGUAAAGCGAGUGUAGGCGGUUUAUUAAGUUAGAUGUGAAAGCCUGAGGCUUAACCUCAGAAUUGCAUUUAAUACUGAUAAGCUUGAGUAUGGUAGAGGAUGGUGGAAUUCCUAGUGUAGAGGUGAAAUUCGUAGAUAUUAGGAGGAACACCGGUGGCGAAGGCGGCCAUCUGGACCAUUACUGACGCUAAGACUCGAAAGCGUGGGGAGCAAACGGG
rnacentral:rRNA from 1 species